AACGAACGCUGGCGGCAGGCUUAACACAUGCAAGUCGAACGCCCCGCAAGGGGAGUGGCAGACGGGUGAGUAACGCGUGGGAAUCUACCCAUCUCUACGGAAUAACUCAGGGAAACUUGCGCUAAUACCGUAUACGCCCUUCGGGGGAAAGAUUUAUCGGAGAUGGAUGAGCCCGCGUUGGAUUAGCUAGUUGGUGGGGUAAAGGCCUACCAAGGCGACGAUCCAUAGCUGGUCUGAGCGGAUGAUCAGCCACAUUGGGACUGAGACACGGCCCAAACUCCUACGGNNNGCAGCAGUGGGGANUAUUGGACAAUGGGCGCAAGCCUGAUCCAGCCAUGCCGNGUGAGUGAUGAAGGCCCUNGGGUUGUAAAGNUCUUUCACCNAUGANGAUAAUGACUGUNGUCGGAGAAGAAGCCCCGGCUAACUUCGUGCCAGCCGCCGCAGUAAUA
rnacentral:rRNA from 1 species